UACGUAGGUGGCAAGCGUUGUCCGGAUUUACUGGGCGUAAAGAGCGCGCAGGCGGCUGGUCAAGUCCGAUGUGAAAGCUCCCGGCUUAACUGGGAAACGGCAUCGGAAACUGAUCGGCUUGAAGGUGGGAGAGGGUAGUGGAAUUCCCGGUGUAGUGGUGAAAUGCGUAGAUAUCGGGAGGAACACCAGUGGCGAAGGCGGCUUCCUGGCCUGUUCUUGACGCUGAGGCGCGAAAGCUAGGGGAGCAAACGGG
rnacentral:rRNA from 1 species